rnacentral:lncRNA from 1 species
GCCAAAAGAGGUGGAAAUGCGUCAUUGAAUCCAGCUCACCCAGGGUUGGGAAUGAAGAAGUGAAGACAGUGCUACCCUGAUCAACCGAGGGAAGAAGGAGGGUUCAGGAGGCCAAACCCUGCCCGUGGAGUUCCCCGGAACUCAUGAGGAAGAGCAGGCUAGAGAUCCCAUCAGAUCUGGAGCUGCUGGCCUACGCCACAGCCACAGCAACACCAGAUCCAAGCCGUGUCUGCGACCUACACCACAGCUCACAGCAACGCUGGAUCCUUAACCCACUGAGCGAGGCCAGGGACCGACCCCUCGUCCUCAGGGAAUGCUAGUCAGGUUCAUUACCGCUGAGCCAUGACGGGACCUCCUGCAUUUAGAUUUUUAGCGAACAUCUACUUCGCGCCUCACCUCAAGUCAGUUGCUGGGGAGAAGCAGAAAGGAGGCGUGGGCUGGGCUAGUGCGCAGGUGGACUCAGCCCACCCCUAGUGAGGCUCCCUGCCUGGACUUCUGGGAGAGGCUUGAAUGAGCCUUGAAGGAGAUACCUGACUAUCAAAGGAGGGGGCGAAACAGCAUCCCGAGCCAAGGAAAUGACAUUGUGAAAGCCUCCAAGAUGUUUGGGGUUCAUGACUCCUCGGCACAGUUAAGGCCUGGGGUCCACGGGACAGGACAGUCGGGGGAGAGAUGAAGUGAUGAGGCCGAAACCAGAGCAGCGGCUGACUGCACCUCAGGAGUCCGCAGGGGAAGGACUUUGUGGACAUGGCGAUUAUCUCAACUGUUUGUGGGGCAAUCACAGGAGCAUCUGGGGAGAAAACUGGCCCCAGAAGGAAAAGGGCUGCAGGCGGGAAGACCAGAAAGGAUGCUGUUCAGAUGGCCCAGGUGAAAGCCAGUGAGGGCCUAGACUGAGCAGACGUGGUGGGAUGGAGGGGCCCAGGAGACAGCUCUGGAUUUGGCAGUUGCGGGGGAGGAGCUAGAUCAUUGUGCUUUUACAAGAGUGGGUUAUUUAUCCAAAAACAAACAAAACAAAACAACAGCAACAACAGGGCAUUGCCGCAAGCUGUGGUGUAGGCUGCAGAUGUGGCUCGGAUCCAGCGUGGCUGUGGCUGUGCCGUAAGCCAGCAGCUGCAGCUCCGAUUCGAGCCCAGGAACUUCCAUAUGCCUCAGGUGGGGCCCUAGAAAAGGACAGAAAAAAAAAAA